UACGAAGGGGGCUAGCGUUGUUCGGAAUUACUGGGCGUAAAGCGCUCGCAGGCGGAUUGAUAAGUCGGGGGUGAAAUCCCGGGGCUCAACCUCGGAAUUGCCUUCGAUACUGUCUAUCUAGAGUCCGGGAGAGGUGAGUGGAAUUCCUAGUGUAGAGGUGAAAUUCGUAGAUAUUAGGAAGAACACCAGUGGCGAAGGCGGGUCUCUGGACAGUUCCUGACGCUGAGGCACGAAGGCCAGGGGAGCAAACGGG
rnacentral:rRNA from 1 species